rnacentral:rRNA from 1 species
UUAGUGGCGGACGGGUGAGUAACGCGUGGGUAACCUGCCAUAUACAGGGGGAUAACACUUAGAAAUAGGUGCUAAUACCGCAUAACAACAGAAAGCGCAUGCUUUUUGUUUGAAAACCAAGGUGGUAUGGGAUGGACCCGCGUCUGAUUAGCUGGUUGGCGGGGUAAAGGCCCACCAAGGCGACGAUCAGUAGCCGGCCUGAGAGGGUGGACGGCCACAUUGGGACUGAGACACGGCCCAAACUCCUACGGGAGGCAGCAGUGGGGAAUAUUGCACAAUGGGGGAAACCCUGAUGCAGCGACGCCGCGUGAGUGAAGAAGUAAUUCGUUAUGUAAAGCUCUAUCAGCAGGGAAGAAAAUGACGGUACCUGAGUAAGAAGCCCCGGCUAACUACGUGCCAGCAGCCGCGGUAAUACGUAGGGGGCAAGCGUUAUCCGGAUUUACUGGGUGUAAAGGGAGCGUAGACGGCAGUGCAAGUCUGGAGUGAAAGGCGGGGGCUCAACCCCCGGACUGCUCUGGAAACUGUACGGCUGGAGUGCAGGAGAGGUAAGUGGAAUUCCUAGUGUAGCGGUGAAAUGCGUAGAUAUUAGGAGGAACACCAGUGGCGAAGGCGGCUUACUGGACUGUAACUGACGUUGAGGCUCGAAAGCGUGGGGAGCAAACAGGAUUAGAUACCCUGGUAGUCCACGCCGUAAACGAUGA